GACGAACGCUGGCGGCGUGCUUAACACAUGCAAGUCGAACGCUGAAGCUCAGCUUGCUGGGUGGAUGAGUGGCGAACGGGUGAGUAACACGUGAGUAACCUGCCCUCUUCUUUGGGAUAACGCCCGGAAACGGGUGCUAAUACUGGAUAUUCACUGAUUCUCGCAUGGGGGUUGGUGGAAAGGUUUGUUCUGGUGGGGGAUGGGCUCGCGGCCUAUCAGCUUGUUGGUGGGGUGAUGGCCUACCAAGGCUUUGACGGGUAGCCGGCCGGAGAGGGUGACCGGUCACAUUGGGACUGGGACACGGCCCAGACGCGUACGGGAGGCAGCAGUGGGGGAUAUUGCACAAUGGGCGAAAGCCUGAUGCGGCGACGCCGCGUGAGGGAUGGAGGCCUUCGGGUUGUAAACCUCUUUCGCUCAUGGUCAAGCCGCAGCUUUGGGUUGUGGUGAGGGUAGUGGGUAAAGAAGCGCCGGCUAACUACGUG
rnacentral:rRNA from 1 species